CAAUAGCGUAUAUUAAAGUUGUUGCAGUUAAAAAGCUCGUAGUUGGAUUUGUGGCGUACGGUGGGUUCCGGGCACUUGUUGUCUGAGUAACUUGCUGUUGCCAUCCUUGGGUGGAACCUGUGUGGCAUUAGGUUGUCGUGCAGGGGAUGCCCAUCAUUUACUGUGAAAAAAUUAGAGUGUUCAAAGCAGGCUUAUGCCGUUGAAUAUAUUAGCAUGGAAUAAUGGGAUAGGACUUUUUUGCUAUUUUGUUGGUUUGCGCAAAGAGGUAAUGAUUAAUAGGGACAGUUGGGGGUAUUCGUAUUCCAUUGUCAGAGGUGAAAUUCUUGGAUUUUUGGAAGACGAACUACUGCGAAAGCAUUUACCAAGGAUGUUUUCAUUAA
rnacentral:rRNA from 1 species